AAGAUCAAUCAUGAAGUGACACACGUACAACAAGAAAGAGAAAAAAAUAUAUUCAAAAUAGUUGUCAUUCACGUGAUACCACAUUUGCAUAAGGAAACUUCCUUUCUCUCUCACAUAUGUCAUUCUCUUUUCUCUCUCACGCAUCCCACUUUUUUUCUCUGGAAAAACCAAAACUACACAUUCUCUCUUUCACACAACACAAAUAUUUAUCCAAUGAAAUCAAAUAGGAUGAAUA
rnacentral:lncRNA from 1 species